GCGAAAGUGGCGAAAUUGGUAGACGCGCUACCUUGAGGGGGUAGUGCAAUUAUGUGUGUGGGUUCAAGUCCCACCUUUCGCA
rfam:Micromonas sp. RCC299 mitochondrion, complete genome.